AUAAAAUAUCCAUAAGAAAACAAUUUUUGUCGUCUAUUGUUGAAGAAAAAUUAAAUUGUAUAUGAUAUAAAUUAAAUAAAAAUACGGUCGGAAUAUCUUGAGAAAAUCUGGGAAGUAUUUAUGCUGUACUGCUAAUCAGAAAGUUACAAAAAUACGUGGAAAUCGGGAAAGUUACAAACUAUGAAAAAAAAGAGAUUUUGGCCCAUCCAUAUAUGUUUGUGAAUGCAGUUUUAUUGACGGAUAUCGGUUUAAUUUUAAACAAACAUGUCGGCCGAACUACAAUCGACAAGCCUUUGUCGAAGCAGCUUCAAAUUAUAAUUCUUUCUUGAUGUUGAAAAUGCUUUUGUUGUUGCAAUGUUCAAUCGGUACUCUUGAUGUGAUGGGGUUUCGCAAAAUUCUUGUGCAAUAAUCCGUUUUUAAGAGGUUUUCAAAAUUUGAGAUGCUUUAACAAUUUCAAUAUAUAUGUAUACACUUGUAUUGUUAAAUAUUUCAUAUAUAUUUUUUAAUAUAAUAUUUUAUAUUUUUAA